rnacentral:rRNA from 1 species
GGAGGACCAUCUCCCAAGGCUAAAUACUCCCUAGUGACCGAUAGUGAACCAGUACCGUGAGGGAAAGGUGAAAAGCACCCCGGAAGGGGAGUGAAACAGUUCCUGAAACCGUGUGCCUACAAGUAGUUAGAGCCCGUUAAUGGGUGAUAGCGUGCCUUUUGUAGAAUGAACCGGCGAGUUACGAUUUGUUGCAAGGUUAAGCGGAAAAAGCGGAGCCGUAGCGAAAGCGAGUCUGAAUAGGGCGCAUAAGUAACAGGUCGUAGACCCGAAACCAGGUGAUCUACCCAUGUCCAGGAUGAAGGUAAGGUAAUACUUACUGGAGGUCCGAACCCACGCACGUUGAAAAGUGCGGGGAUGAGGUGUGGGUAGCGGAGAAAUUCCAAUCGAACUUGGAGAUAGCUGGUUCUCUCCGAAAUAGCUUUAGGGCUAGCCUCGAGGUAAAGAGUCAUGGAGGUAGAGCACUGUUUGGACUAGGGGCCCUUCUCGGGUUACCGAAUUCAGAUAAACUCCGAAUGCCAUGUACUUAUACUCGGGAGUCAGACUGCGAGUGAUAAGAUCCGUAGUCGAAAGGGAAACAGCCCAGACCACCAGUUAAGGUCCCCAAAUAUAUGUUAAGUGGAAAAGGAUGUGGGGUUGCUUAGACAACCAGGAUGUUGGCUUAGAAGCAGCCACCAUUGAAAGAGUGCGUAAUAGCUCACUGGUCGAGUGACCCCGCGCCGAAAAUGUACCGGGGCUAAACAUAUUACCGAAACUGUGGAUGAACCUCUUUAGAGGUUCGUGGUAGGAGAGCGUUCUAAGGGCGGUGAAGUCAGACCGGAAGGACUGGUGGAGCGCUUAGAAGUGAGAAUGCCGGUAUGAGUAGCGAAAGAAGGGUGAGAAUCCCUUCCACCGAAUAUCUAAGGUUUCCUGAGGAAGGCUCGUCCGCUCAGGGUUAGUCGGGACCUAAGCCGAGGCCGAUAGGCGUAGGCGAUGGACAACAGGUAGAGAUUCCUGUACCAGUGCUAAUUGUUUAACCGAUGGGGUGACACAGAAGGAUAGGGAAUCGCACGAAUGGAAAUGUGCGUCCAAGCAGUGAGUGUGAGAAGUAGGCAAAUCCGCUUCUCGCGAAGCAUGAGCUGUGAUGGGGAAGGAAAUUAAGUACGGAAGUUCCUGAUUUCACGCUGUCAAGAAAAGCCUCUAGGAAGAGUAGUACUGCCCGUACCGCAAACCGACACAGGUAGAUGAGGAGAGAAUCCUAAGGUGAGCGAGAGAACUCUCGUUAAGGAACUCGGCAAAAUGACCCCGUAACUUCGGGAGAAGGGGUGCUCUAUUAGGGUGCAAGCCCGAGAGAGCCGCAGUGAAUAGGCCCAGGCGACUGUUUAGCAAAAACACAGGUCUCUGCAAAACCGUAAGGUGACGUAUAGGGGCUGACGCCUGCCCGGUGCUGGAAGGUUAAGAGGAGUGCUUAGCUUCGGCGAAGGUACGAAUUGAAGCCCCAGUAAACGGCGGCCGUAACUAUAACGGUCCUAAGGUAGCGAAAUUCCUUGUCGGGUAAGUUCCGACCCGCACGAAAGGCGCAACGAUCUGGGCACUGUCUCAACGAGAGACUCGGUGAAAUUAUAGUACCUGUGAAGAUGCAGGUUACCCGCGACAGGACGGAAAGACCCCGUGGAGCUUUACUGCAACCUGAUAUGGAAUGUUUGUACCGCUUGUACAGGAUAGGUAGGAGCCGAAGAGACGUGUGCGCUAGCAUACGAGGAGGCAAUGGUGGGAUACUACCCUGGCUGUAUGACCAUUCUAACCCGCCACGCUUAGCGCGUGGGGAGACAGUGUCAGGUGGGCAGUUUGACUGGGGCGGUCGCCUCCUAAAGAGUAACGGAGGCGCCCAAAGGUUCCCUC